UGGCGCUCGCUCUUCCCCGGACCGUUCUAGGAUCAGCCCGUAUUUAAAGCUCCAAACGCGGCCAGACGAAACCACUUGGAGGACAUGCGCCGCUGCUUCCAGGACCCAGUGAACAGCCAGGCAUUUGACAGCGCCACCCACGGGCUCGGUCUGGGAAUGAUGCACGUGGUCCUGGACAUGGUCUCAUCCGUGAUCCAGCACCAGGUCCGAAUCCUGUCCGGAUCCACCGGCACCAACGCAGAACUGUCCCACGAGACCUGUCCCUCCACGCCGAGACGCAACCGCAAACGACACCGCAAAUUUAACCACAACGACCCCAACCCGCACCAGAGAACCGUGAGGGAGGCCGUGAGGGAGGGGGCGGCCAUUUUGAAGGCCAAGAGCGGAGGGAGGGGCAGGAAGAAGGUGAGACAAGAUGGCGAGCAGACGGGUGAGACGGAGGCGGUCCCGGAGCAGCAGAUGGAGGAGGGGGAUAAUGUUCUUCUACUGACUGUGGGCUACGAGGCCGUGUCCAGUGAACUCGGCACGAACGAGAGCGUCAAUAAUGACCCAAUGCAGAGC
ensembl:lncRNA